GAGGGUAUAGCUCAGGGGUAGAGUGUGUGCUUAGCAUGCAUGAGGUCCUGGGUUCAAUCCCCAGUACCUCCA
rnacentral:tRNA from 1 species